CAAACAGUUUUGGCCAAGGUUAAGCUAAGAAUUAUUCUUUUUAUUCCGGAUCCUCCCUCUAUAUUUCUCUAUUCAUGAUUGUAGUAUUGUCUGUGUCUGUCGAGAUCUGCAGUAUGGUCGGAGAGGGAUCUCAUCCAUAGCUUCUUCUCCCCUGUCCUCAAGGGUCAAGCAUGCUUGGGAGGAGCAGAACAAAUUAGUUCUUGGUUUAGCGUUCAUUGGUGGAUGGUUCGUCAAAGCUAACAUAAAUGUUUUCAAGCGAAGAGAGGAUUGGUACAGAGUUCACAGAUUUUUUGAUGAGGAGGAUAAGCGUCUUGAAGAGAAACUUGCCCGUUUUGAAAAGGAACUGGAUGAUGAUGUCUAGGCUACAAUAGAUUGUUUUUUGUGUUGUGUUGUUUGGUGUUUUAUCCGCACUCUCGUACUAAUUUAGUGGUGGCUUGCUUCUUGUCUUGUGUUCGUUUGGUGUUUUGAAACUGUUUUUUUUCUUCUUCAUCUCCUAUAUAUGGUUCCACUUGCAAACCUACUCUUACGUGUUUCACAAGUAUUUGGUCGUA